rnacentral:rRNA from 1 species
GGCGUGCCUAAUACAUGCAAGUCGAGCGGACAGAUGGGAGCUUGCUCCCUGAUGUUAGCGGCGGACGGGUGAGUAACACGUGGGUAACCUGCCUGUAAGACUGGGAUAACUCCGGGAAACCGGGGCUAAUACCGGAUGGUUGUUUGAACCGCAUGGUUCAGACAUAAAAGGUGGCUUCGGCUACCACUUACAGAUGGACCCGCGGCGCAUUAGCUAGUUGGUGAGGUAACGGCUCACCAAGGCGACGAUGCGUAGCCGACCUGAGAGGGUGAUCGGCCACACUGGGACUGAGACACGGCCCAGACUCCUACGGGAGGCAGCAGUAGGGAAUCUUCCGCAAUGGACGAAAGUCUGACGGAGCAACGCCGCGUGAGUGAUGAAGGUUUUCGGAUCGUAAAGCUCUGUUGUUAGGGAAGAACAAGUGCCGUUCAAAUAGGGCGGCACCUUGACGGUACCUAACCAGAAAGCCACGGCUAACUACGUGCCAGCAGCCGCGGUAAUACGUAGGUGGCAAGCGUUGUCCGGAAUUAUUGGGCGUAAAGGGCUCGCAGGCGGUUUCUUAAGUCUGAUGUGAAAGCCCCCGGCUCAACCGGGGAGGGUCAUUGGAAACUGGGGAACUUGAGUGCAGAAGAGGAGAGUGGAAUUCCACGUGUAGCGGUGAAAUGCGUAGAGAUGUGGAGGAACACCAGUGGCGAAG